CAGAGAACGAAAAAAGACCCACCCCCCUGGUUUCAUCUUCUCAAAACGACCCUCUCCGUUCAGCUUCCAUCUUCACCCAAGCUGAAGCAGCCUUCAGCCGCAUAACACCAAGGACGACCACCCCUGUAUUAUCGUCUUCCUCGCACCCCAUCUUCGGAUAAGAACGCAUCAACCCAAAACGGACCCCGUCGUUUUCUCUUCGACGCAGCUUCAGCCAUAAACACAAGACCUCGAGCUUCUUCUUACUUCUUCAUGUAGGACGCAACCUAAAACCCUAGAACACCAAGCAGCCGCCCACCAUCCUCCAUAACAGACCCAUAGCUGCACCUUCUCCUUCUUCAUAAGAGAGCAACGCCUAAAGACCUAAAGAGAUCAGCCGCAAUACUGGACAGACCCCUCCCCCAUGAGAUUUCAUCACCUUCAAAACCAAAAAGCCUAAACUCCAUCUCCAUGUCAGCCGCCGUUCACACCACCAGACCCCUAUAGCCUAGCACCGCUGCUCGCCUCCAAAACGGCCUUAUCAUCUUCUCCGUGACUCUCCAAAAAACCAGCCACCGAUAACACAAACAACAGACCCUUCCAGCCAUCUCUCUCCCUUUUUCUAUCUCACCCCAUCGCCGGCGCCGGUUGUUGCUUCCCCGUCUCGCCUUCAUCCCCCUCUACUACCACUGUUCCGCCGGAGUCGAAUCCUCGAUGAUGAACGAACAAGAUGCUGUGAUUUCCUUAGUAUAGCAGCAUGUUUAUCGGUCAUGUGGCUAAGGUUUAAAGCUCCGAAACCCAGCAAAAGCAGUCAAAAGAAACGUGCCCUCCUCAACCUGAUUCCCAGCCUUGUUCCCGUUUUGCGAUAGUUUUCAAGAGGUCCUGCUUGAGCCUUUUCGUUGAGUUCUAGCGUAUGUGUUGGUGAUUAAAAAUAAGCUCGUGAAACUGUUGAGAUUCCGGGUAAACUCAGAGGUCGCCGGAAGUCGUUGUGUAAGGGGCUCCGUUUCAGUUUCGUCCGAGGUUCGAUUGCGGUUCCAACGCAUUCGACGUUAGUCACGACCAGGUUUGAGCCGUCCGGAGGUUGAUUCACGUGUGAAGGGAUUCAUAAAGUACUGAUUUUGCUUGCAUAAGGUAUUGGAGCGAGCCAUCAGUAGUUGAAGCUUGUUGCAAAGUAAUCUUUGGAGAGGCGGGGUAGAACUACAUCUCGACCGCAGUCUUAAUGUCUCUUUUCAUUUUGUAUUGUUCUAUGUCAUUCAGACAUCAUUGUUAUUUGUAUUUCAGACUCGUAUUUUUGUUUUAGAGCUCAUAACUCUUUAUUUACCAGUUCUGGGGGAUUUAUUACGUAUUGACGCUAUUAUGUUA